GGACGGGUGAGUAACGCGUGGGUGACCUGCCCCAUACCGGGGGAUAACAGCUGGAAACGGCUGCUAAUACCGCAUAAGCGCACAGAGCUGCAUGGCUCGGUGUGAAAAACUCCGGUGGUAUGGGAUGGGCCCGCGUCUGAUUAGGCAGUUGGCGGCGGUAACGGCCCACCAAACCGACGAUCAGUAGCCGGCCUGAGAGGGCGACCGGCCACAUUGGGACUGAGACACUGCCCAAACUCCUACGGGAGGCAGCAGUGGGGAAUAUUGCACAAUGGGGGAAACCCUGAUGCACCGACGCCGCGUGAGCGAAGAAUUAUUUCGGUAUGUAAAGCUCUAUCAGCAGGGAAGAUAAUGACGGUAACUGACUAAGAAGCCCCGGCUAACUACGUGCCAGCAGCCGCGGUAAUACGUAGGGGGCAAGCGUUAUCCGGAUUUACUGGGUGUAAAGGGAGCGUA
rnacentral:rRNA from 1 species